rnacentral:misc_RNA from 1 species
AAUGGAAUCUUUUUGAAGGAAAAAAAAAAAAAAAAAAAAAAAAAGAAAAAAGAAAAAAAAAGAUUGUUCGAGUACCAACCUUUCUUACGCGUUUUUUUUCGGUGUCUGAAACGGAUAGCCGAACAACAAGGAUGUCCUCACCACCUGAAGAUAAUGGUACACAACGAUCUCUAUUCCGGUAGUUUUUAAUAAUUAUCGUUAAAACGCAUAGAUUAAGACGUAUUUUCUUCCUAUAGAUAUAUAUAUAUAUGUAUAUAUAUAUAUAUAUAUAUAUACAUACAUAUAUAAUAUAUUAUAUAUAUUAGAUAAUUGAAAAAAAAAGUUCAUUAAUAAUCGCGCUUUUGAAAUUGAAAAACGAAAAAAAGUAAAAAUUGCAAAAAAAAAAAAAAAAAGAAAAAAAAGAGGGAGCUCUCUGGAAAUGAUCGAUAUGAUGGCUCGACGUUUUCAUCUAGAAGAUCAUCCGCAACUUGUUUAAGUUUCAGGUUUCUAUGCCGCGGCCCCACAGUUGGAUCUAAACUUCGUUUUACAAUCUUGCAAGGCGUUCGAGAACUCGGAAGGAGGCGGUAACAGGGAGGCGGCGGCGGCGGCGGCGGCGGCAGCGACGACGACGACGACGACGACGGGCCAGCCAGAUUUCGGUGGCGGUUACGUGACGCCCCUGCCUAAUUAUCACGCGCAAGCUGGUAGGCAAAGGAGCACGUACGCGAAAGGUAAUUUCGCGGAUUGCUUCAGAAAGCCGUUCCCCUGCCCGAAAUGCGGCCG